rnacentral:tRNA from 1 species
GAGGGUAUAGCUGAAUGGUAAAGCGCGUGCUUAGCAUACGUGAGGUCCUACGUUCAAUCCCCAGUACCUCCA